rnacentral:rRNA from 1 species
AGCGAACGCUGGCGGCAGGCCUAACACAUGCAAGUCGAACGAACCUUUCGGGGUUAGUGGCGGACGGGUGAGUAACCCGUGGGAACGUGCCUUUAGGUUCGGCAUAACUCAGGGAAACUUGUGCUAAUACCGACUGUGCCCUUCGGGGGGAAGAUUAAUCGCCUUUAGAGCGGCCCGCGUCUGAUUAGCUAGUUGGUUGAGGUAAUGGCUCACCAAGGCGACGAUCAGUAGCUGGUCUGAGAGGAUGAUCAGCCACAUUGGGACUGAGACACGGCCCAAACUCCUACGCGAGGCAGCAGUGGGGAAUCUUGCGAAAUGGGCGAAAGGCUGACGCAGCCAUGCCGCGUGAAUGAUGAAGGUCGUAGGAUUGUAAAAUUCUUUCACCGGGGACGAUAAUGACGGUACCCGGAGAAGAAGCCCCGGCUAACUUCGUG